rnacentral:rRNA from 1 species
GUGGCUCGGCCCGCUGUUAGUCGUCAUUGCCAUGCUCCUGAUCUCGGCGGGGCUCAUGCU